CCUACGGGAGGCAGCAGUGGGGAAUUUUGGACAAUGGGCGCAAGCCUGAUCCAGCCAUGCCGCGUGUGGGAAGAAGGCCUUCGGGUUGUAAACCACUUUUGUCAGGGAAGAAACGGUCUGAACUAAUACUUUGGACUAAUGACGGUACCUGAAGAAUAAGCACCGGCUAACUACGUGCCAGCAGCCGCGGUAAUACGUAGGGUGCAAGCGUUAAUCGGAAUUACUGGGCGUAAAGCGUGCGCAGGCGGCUUUGCAAGACAGAUGUGAAAUCCCCGGGCUCAACCUGGGAACUGCAUUUGUGACUGCAUGGCUAGAGUACGGUAGAGGGGGAUGGAAUUCCGCGUGUAGCAGUGAAAUGCGUAGAUAUGCGGAGGAACACCGAUGGCGAAGGCAAUCCCCUGGACCUGUACUGACGCUCAUGCACGAAAGCGUGGGGAGCAAACAGGAUUAGAUACCCUGGUGGUCCACGCCCUAAACGAUGUCAACUGGUUGUUGGGAGGGUUUCUUCUCAGUAACGAAGCUAACGCGUGAAGUUGACCGCCUGGGGAGUACGGCCGCAAGGUUGAAACGUUAAUGAAUUGACGG
rnacentral:rRNA from 1 species